GAAGCUAUUUUUAAGGAUAGGUAUCACUUUUAUUAGAACCACCAGGAGACAGGACAAGACCAAACAAAGAUGAGACAGAAGUAUGGCGAUUAAAUUCAGAGGAAGACUACGAGCAUCCAAGUCACAAUCACAGAGAUAAAAGUAUUUACAGCCAGAGGUGGCAAAGAGGACAGUUGCUCUGCAAAAUGCACAUUGAAGCUGAAUGAAAGUCAAAGCCAAGGGAGCCAUGCUAUGUGUGCCUGAUAAGCAGAUCUCUGGUGCAGCAGAGAGCAGCUGCCUGGUGCGGGCUCCACAUCACAGGGCUUCACCCUCUGCACUGCCCUCAGCAGAAUGAGAUGCCCAAGUUUGCUCUCAUGGAACACAUCUUGCUCAAGAGCCAGAAUGAAAAUCAAACUCCCACUUCAGAAAGUUACACAGGAUAGCAUCUUGCAGCCCAGCUCUCACAUUUCAUCUGUGCAGACCUUUUCUGAAGCUCCCACAUGAUAUCCCAAAUGCUGCAAAUCCCAAAUACACCAACCAGAGUGCCCAGGGUCACCUAAUCCCCAGCCACCAGCAGCUCUGAUCCCUGAGCAGGCUGCCAGAGGAAUGGGCAAAGGACCAGAUGAAAGGAUUUGUACAUCACUACAAAAAAGUAAUAACC
rnacentral:lncRNA from 1 species